UGGAGCAACGCCGCGUGAGUGAAGAAGGUUUUCGGAUCGUAAAACUCUGUUGUAAGGGAAGAACAAGUGCAGUAGUAACUGGCUGCACCUUGACGGUACCUUAUUAGAAAGCCACGGCUAACUACGUGCCAGCAGCCGCGGUAAUACGUAGGUGGCAAGCGUUGUCCGGAAUUAUUGGGCGUAAAGCGCGCGCAGGCGGUUUCUUAAGUCUGAUGUGAAAGCCCCCGGCUUAACCGGGGAGGGUCAUUGGAAACUGGGAGACUUGAGUGCAGAAGAGGAAAGUGGAAUUCCAAGUGUAGCGGUGAAAUGCGUAGAGAUUUGGAGGAACACCAGUGGCGAAGGCGACUUUCUGGUCUGUAACUGACGCUGAGGCGCGAAAGCGUGGGGAGCAAACAGGAUUAGAUACCCUGGUAGUCCACGCCGUAAACGAUGAGUGCUAAGUGUUAGGGGGUUUCCGCCCCUUAGUGCUGCAGCUAACGCAUUAAGCACUCCGCCUGGGGAGUACGGUCGCAAGACUG
rnacentral:rRNA from 1 species